rnacentral:rRNA from 1 species
UACAACAUAGUGUUAAUGCACAGGAUCCCAUUAGAAAUACGCAGUUAAGAACACUCAGGCUAGAGUAGUACUUGGAUGGGUGACCGCCCGGUAAGUCUUAGUGUUUUAC